rnacentral:lncRNA from 1 species
UGCAAAAGGGAGCGCAUCCGUUCCCAAGGGUACAGUAGGGAGCAUUUUUCUUUGAAGAGGCCGGAAUGUUUUUUGAAGGAACAUGGCCUGGGGAGGUCUUCCGUGGGAAGUUCGCGCCUUUUCCAAAGGUGUCUUCGCUGUCUUCUUUUGGGGAAACCGACUCAACUCUGCCUUCUGUGUGCCUGCCUGUGGUCCCCAACAGCAGGAAGACCUGCGGCCACCGUGCAGAGGAUGCUGUGACGCUCACCGUGUUUUCUUUUCUGUCAUUGCAGGUGGACGGGACGGACGGUGAAAGCUGUGAGUAUUCUGGAACCCUGCUCCGCUGAGGAGAAGUCCAGGUGUUGAGGAAGGGAGGGGGGGCCCUCCUGCUCCUUUGGUUGCAGAGACACGUUGAGGCCAUAGAGCCCAGGGAAGUUCUGAGCACACGGAGGCCAGACCAGGGCAGUGCUGUGAGGCCCCAAACAACCUUCGGUAGGCGACAUGAGUGGGGGACAGAUUCUAACACCUUGGUUCCUCAUGUCUGUGUUUCUGCAGCGUGGAGCACUGUGAGUCUGUGUGGCAGCGUCCACGAUGAAGAUGACACAGGUAGGAACAGCUCUCGGGUAGGGGCCAAUGGGAGAGGGUUCCCUGGACACUUGGGUUACGCCUGCUGCUUGGGGUGUGGGGCAGGUGAGUCUGAAAUCUAACAACAGAAAGAAAUUGGUGUAAAGAUGUUCAUCGCCUGUUUUAAGAGGGAGAGGGAGCAGAUGAAGAGGUGCCGGAAUGUUGGCAUCUGUGCUCACAUUGGGUCGAAGCGUCUCAGUCCCUGGAGCCGAGGGAAGGUGUGGGCACCUGGAGGAAAAACCAGGGUGAUGCUCCGUGACCCGCAGUCACCUCAGGGACGGGGGAGAAGCGGGAGGGCCGCUGUUUGUACGUCCUUGAUUCCCCGUGGUGUGUUUCUGCAGACUCGGUGGUGGAGAGCAGCAACAGCCACCAGGACGAGGAGGCUGCAGGUAGGGAAGAGCACACGUCUGUCCUCCAGAUCUGUGAGUCCGUUUCUGUUCUGGAGAUAUGUCCCUUUGUGCCGUAUCUUUGCUUCCGCGUGUACGUGAUGUCAUGUGGUAUUUGUCAUUGUCUUUCUGACUUAGGUCACGUGCCGUGAUAACUGUAGUGGCAUCCCUGUUGCUGCCAGUGGCAUUGUUGCUUUCCUGUACCCAGCUGAGCGGCAUGACACUGUCUUUGUGUACCCCAUCGUCUUCACCCAUCCGUCUGUUGGUGGACAUUUAGGUUGCUUCCAUGCCUUGGCUCUUGUGACUUGUGCCACGAACAUACAGGAGCAUGUGUCUUUUUGAGUGAAAGUUUUGUCUGGAGAGAGGCCUAGGAGUGGGAUCGCUGGAUCACAUAGGGUAGUAGUGUAUUGAGUUUUCUGAGGAACCCCCACACUGUUUUCCAGAGUGGUCGCACCGAUUUCCACUGCCACCAACAGUGUUGGGAGGGUUCGCCUUUCUCCGCACCCCCUCCAGCAUU